CAGUCAUGCUAGUGAGGAAUCAACUUGGUGGAAUCAUCUUCCUUGUGUACUUUCUCACUUUUGGCAGGUUAGCAUCAAUUUUAAUUGUCAUCAAAGAAUCGAGGGAAUGUGUCUCACCUUCGGGGGAGUGUUUUAUAGACCUUGAUCAAUGUGGCGAUUGAGAUUGAGGAUUGCAGCGAAUGCUCUCGGGCCAGUCACCUGUCUCCUG
rnacentral:rRNA from 1 species